AUGAACCACUCGGCUCCUGUGGAAGUCACAUACAAGAACAUGAGAUUUCUUAUUACAUGUAAUCCAACCAAUGUGACGUGAAACAAAUUUAUAGAGGAACUUCAGAAGUAUGGAGUUACCACAAGAGUGAAGCAACUUAUGGCACUAGUCUUACGGAGAAAGAAGGUAUCCAUGUUUUUGACUGGCCUUUUGAUGAUGGUGCACCACCAUCCAACCAGAUUGUUAAUAACUGACUGGUUAAGUUUUGUAAAAAUUAAGUUUUGUGAAGAACCCGGUUUUUGUAUUGCUGUUCAUUGCAUUUCAGGCCUUAGGGUAGCUCUAGUACUUGUUGCCCUAGCAUUAAUUGAAGGUGGAAUGAAAGAUGAAGAUGCAGCAUAAUUCACAAGACAAAAGUGGCAUGGAGCUUUUAACAGCAAGCAACUUUUGUAUUUGGAGAAGUAUCACCCGAAAAUGUGGCUGCGCUUCAAAGAGUCCAACAGUCAUAGAAACAACUGCUGCAUUCAAUAAAACUGGGGCGUCUAAUGCUACUGGAAGUGAAACUUGAGAUAGGACCCAAUUUGUUAUACAUAUUAGCCAACAUGUUGGCUUAUGAGUAUGUCUAAUGAAGCUUCCAUAGGAGUAUUGAAAGGCAGUUUUAUCAGGUCACAAGAUAGACAGAUUUGGCAACCUUUGUGUUUGGGUUACAUUCAACCUAUUUGGACACUUGGCAAAAGAUUCUUACUGUCAACAUAUAAAAUGUGCUUGUCAUUUGUACCAGUUGACCUUUCCCAAAAUCAGGCAGUAUUGAGUUAUGACUUGUUUUAAUCUAUUCCCACACCAAGAAUCUUAUGAAUACACAGAAAUUUAGUAAGAUUAGGUGCCAAAAUACCCAGCACAAUACUUGCAAACUUUUAGUACCAUACAGAACUAAAAUCCUAGGAACUAGGAAUACUCUAGACCUUAUGUGGUUUAUUCCUUCAAUCACUUCAAACAUUGAAUAUAGGGUGGCCAG